rnacentral:rRNA from 1 species
GGGGGGGGGCCCCGGCGGGGGGGGUGUUUUAUUUAUAUUCUUGUUUUUUUUUCUUAUUUUUUUUUCUCUUUUUUUUGGUGGGGGGGGAAAAAACCCCCCAAAAAAAAAAUUUUUGGAUUUUUAACCCCUUUAAUGUGUUUUUUUUUUUAGGGGGCUUUUUUUUUUAAAAAUAAAAAAUCCCCGGGGGGGUUAAAGAAAGAGGCAUUGGUUCCUUUUUAGUUAGUUGGGUAAGGGAAAAAGCUUCCCCAGGGUUUCGAUAGGUAGGGGGACCUGAGGAGGGUGACCCCCCCACCACUGGUAAUGAGGACCCCGACCCAGACUCCUACGGGAGGGCAGCAGUGAGGAAUAUUGCGCAUGGANGGAAACUCUGACGCAGCCAUGCCGCGUGCAGGAUGAAUGCCUAUGGGGUUGUAACCUGCUUUUCUGCAAGAAGAAACUUUAGUACGUGUACUAAACUGACGGUAUGCAGGGAAUAAGCACCGGCUAACUCCGUGCCAGCAGCGCGGGUAAUACGGAGGUGCNAAGCGUAUCNNGGAUUUAUUUGGGUUAAAGGUNNNCGCAGGCGGAACUUUAAGUCAGUGGUGAAAGCCUACAGCUUAACUGUAGAACUGCCAUUGAUACUGAAGUUCUUGAGUGUGGUUGAAGUGGGCGGAAUAUGUCAUGUAGCGGUGAAAUGCAUAGAUAUGACAUGGAACACCAAUUGCGAAAGCAGCUCACUAAACCAUUACUGACGCUCAUGGACGAAAGUGUGGGUAGCGAACAGGAUUAGAUACCCUGGUAGUCCACACCGUAAACUAUGAUCACUAGAUGUUGGCGAUAUAAUGUCAGUGUUAAAGAGAAAUCGUUAAGUGAUCCACCUGGGGAGUACGUUCGCAAGAAUGAAACUCAAAAGAAUUGACGGGGGCCCGCACAAGCGGUGGAGCAUGUGGUUUAAUUCGAUGAUACGCGAGGAACCUUACCAAGGCUUAAAUGUAAAACGACCGGUUGAGAAAUCAAUCUUUUUUCGAACGAUUUACAAGGUGCUGCAUGGUUGUCGUCAGCUCGUGCCGUGAGGUGUCGGGUUAAGUCCCAUAACGAGCGCAACCCCUAUUUUUAGUUACCAGCGAGUAAUGUCGGGAACUCUAAAGAAACUGCCCGUGCAAACGGAGAGGAAGGUGGGGAUGACGUCAAAUCAUCACGGCCCUUAUGUCUUGGGCUACACACGUGCUACAAUGGUUAUUACAAUGAGAUGCAAACUGGUGACAGUAAGCUAAUCUAUAAAAAUAACCUCAGUUCGGAUCGGAGUCUGCAACUCGACUCUGUGAAGUUGGAAUCGCUAGUAAUCGCACAUCAGCCAUGUGUCUGUAUUCCCCCC